ensembl:snoRNA
AUCCUUUUGUAGUUCAUAAACAUGAUGAUUGAGUAUUCACACCAUUGUGUGACAUGUAGCUCCCCUCAAACCUUGUUACAACAUCAGCACAUUACCCGUCUGACA